CUUGUACACACCGCCCGUCACACCAUGGGAGUUGGCUUUACCUGAAGACGGUGCGCUACCCGCAAGGUGAGGCAGCCGGCCACGGUAGGGUCAGCGACUGGGGUGAAGUCGUAACAAGGUAGCCGUAGGGGAACCUGCGGCUGGAUCACCUCCUUU
rnacentral:rRNA from 1 species